UUUUAACUUUUUUUUUUUAUGAUGACGACUUUUGUAUCGCCCCUAUCUGAUCAUCUGAUGAUUGAUUUAUUCUGAACUAAAAAAUAAUAUUAUAUAAUUAUUAAAGUAUACAAAAAUAGCAAAACAUAUUUCUUAAUGGUUUUUCAUUUUCAGGUAAUCAAGCAGAUAAAAUAUAAAUUUUUUAUCUAUACUGAAGUCUUAAAAUCACAAAAAUUAGAAAAGCUGCUUAUUGAAAAAUCAAUGAGACAAUGUCAUAUGUAUGGAGGUGUUAAAGUUUACGGAUAACUUAAUCAAACACAAUUUUAUUGGGGGAAGAGAAUGCUCUAAUAUCCAGACAGUCAAUGAGGCGUUAUUUGCACUCCUGAGGUUAACCACAUGCGAGGGGAGGUCCAAAAGCUCGUGGGAGACAUUAGGGAUAGAGUCGUUAGUAUAUAAAUUGAGUUUCAUCCCUAUUACGUCAUUCACUGACGAAUACCAACACUCGCCUGCUAAACAAGUCAAUCCGGAAGAAAAAAUCAAACAAAGGAGAAAAUUGAAAACCAUGCUGUGAUAAAAUUCCUUACCAAGCAAGGAAAGAACGCUCAGACCAUUUUGAAUGAA